rnacentral:rRNA from 1 species
AGUGAACGCUGGCGGUAGGCCUAACACAUGCAAGUCGAACGGCAGCACAGUAAGAGCUUGCUCUUACGGGUGGCGAGUGGCGGACGGGUGAGGAAUACAUCGGAAUCUACUUUUUCGUGGGGGAUAACGUAGGGAAACUUACGCUAAUACCGCAUACGACCUACGGGUGAAAGCAGGGGAUCCUCGGACCUUGCGCGAUUGAAUGAGCCGAUGUCGGAUUAGCUAGUUGGCGGGGUAAAGGCCCACCAAGGGGACGAUCCGUAGCUGGUCUGAGAGGAUGAUCAGCCACACUGGAACUGAGACACGGUCCAGACUACUACGGGAGGCAGCAGUGGGGAAUAUUGGACAAUGGGCGCAAGCCUGAUCCAGCCAUACCGCGUGGGUGAAGAAGGCCUUCGGGUUGUAAAGCCCUUUUGUUGGGAAAGAAAAGCAGCAGGUUAAUACCCCGCUGUUCUGACGGUACCCAAAGAAUAAGCACCGGCUAACUUCGG